rnacentral:tRNA from 22 species
AACCUCUGAGCUAAGCGGG